rnacentral:ncRNA from 2 species
GUUUUAAAAUGAUAGCAGCAGCAACUCUGGUGGUAAUACAUGCGAUGUUUCUCCAGAUGUGAAUUAUGGAGGAAAAGUUGACCUCAUCAGAGGCACGCCAUUCGACUGAGUGACCUAUCAGCUUGUACUUAGGGUCUUUACCUAGGUAGGCUAUCACGGGUAACGGGCGGUUACCGUCGGACUGCCGGAGAAGGCGCCUGAGAGAUAGCGACUAUAUCCACGGGUAGCAGCAGGCGCGAAACUUUCCCACUCGAGACUUUCGGAGGAGGUAAUGACCAGUUCCAUUGGUGCCUUUUGGUACUGUGGAUAGGGGUACGGUUUUCCACCGUACCGAAACCUAGCAGAGGGCCAGUCUGGUGCCAGCAGCUGCGGUAAUUCCAGCUCUGCGAGUUUGCUCCCAUAUUGUUGCAGUUAAAACGCCCGUAGUCUGAAUUGGCCAGCAAUGGUCGUACGUAUUUUUACGUUCACUGUGAACAAAUCAGGACGCUUAGAGUAUGGCCACAUGAAUGACUCAGCGCAGUAUGAAGUCUUUGUUUUCUUCCGAAAACAAGCUCAAUGAGAGCCAUCGGGGGUAGAUCUAUCUCAUGACGAGUGGUGGAAUACUUUGACUCAUGAGAGAGAAGCUGAGGCGAAGGCGUCUACCUAGAGGGUUUCUGUCGAUCAAGGGCGAGAGUAGGAGUAUCCAACAGGAUUAGAGACCCUGGUAGUUCCUACCUUAAACGAUGCCGACAGGAGUUUGUCAUUUGUUAAUGGCAGAAUCUUUGGAGAAAUCAUAGUUCUUGGGCUCUGGGGGAACUACGACCGCAAGGCUGAAACUUGAAGGAAUUGACGGAAGGGCACACCAGGGGUGGAGCCUGUGGCUUAAUUUGAAUCAACACGGGGAAACUUACCAGGACCAGAUGUUUUUUAUGACUGACAGGCUUCGGGUCUUUCAGGAUAUUGUUUUUGGUGGUGCAUGGCCGUUGGUGGUGCGUGGGUUGACCUGUCUAGCGUUGAUUCAGCUAACGAGCGAGAUUAUCGCCAAUUAUUUACU